rnacentral:rRNA from 1 species
CAGCCGCCGCGGUAAUACCGGCGGCCCGAGUGGCGGCCACUAUUAUUGGGCCUAAAGCGUCCGUAGCCGGGCUGGUAAGUCCUCCGGGAAAUCUGGUCGCUUAACGAUCAGACUUCCGGAGGAUACUGCUGGCCUAGGGACCGGGAGAGGCCGAGGGUAUUCCCGGGGUAGGGGUGAAAUCCUGUAAUCCCGGGAGGACCACCUGUGGCGAAGGCGCUCGGCUGGAACGGGUCCGACGGUGAGGGACGAAGGCCAGGGGAGCGAACCGGAUUAGAUACCCGGGUAGUCCUGGCUGUAAAGGAUGCGGGCUAGGUGUCGGGUGAGCUUCGGGCUCGCCCGGUGCCGUAGGGAAGCCGUUAAGCCCGCCGCCUGGGGAGUACGGCCGCAAGGCUGAAACUUAAAGGAAUUGGCGGG